UACUCUUGACAUCCUGCGAACUUUCGAGAGAUCGAUUGGUGCCUUCGGGAACGCAGAGACAGGUGCUGCAUGGUUGUCGUCAGCUCGUGUCGUGAGAUGUUGGGUUAAGUCCCGCAACGAGCGCAACCCCUAUCAUUAGUUGCUAACAUUUAGUUGAGGACUUUAAUGAGACUGCUUACGCAAGUAAGAGGAAGGUGGGGACGACGUCAAAUCAUCAUGCCCCUUAUGUCUAGGGCUACACACGUGAUACAAUGGCUGGUACAAAGGGUUGCGAACUCGUGAGAGUAAGCCAAUCCCAUAAAGCCAGUCUAAGUUCGGAUUGGAGUCUGCAACUCGACUCCAUGAAGUUGGAAUCACUAGUAAUCGUGGAUCAGAAUGCCACGGUGAAUACGUUCUCGGUUCU
rnacentral:rRNA from 1 species